AUAUAUUUUAAAUGCAAACCAAUAAAUAUGACACUAAUUUUACCGAGAAGUGGGAUUCAAAUGAUAUACUCAAAAUAAUGUAAGCAGACAUUCUUAUGGAUGCAUUAUUGUUAGGGCUCUAAUACAGCAGAAGAUGGAUGAUUUUAAUAUAAAGCUAUUAUGUUUAAUAAGAAAACAGACCGAGAUUGCUAAUUAUAUAAAUUAUUUUUCUCCUUUGUUAUUUGGAUCUGCUUUUUCAAACCAUUAGGGGUAUAAAAAUUCUACAACAAACUCAGUGCUGCCUCUGGGAGUGUAUCGCCUUCCCCCCAGAGGACAGUAUUAUGAAAACACCUUAUGGAGAGUGCAUGUAACCGGCUAAAUCUCUAAUUUGUACCUUUCUUGGAUGAAAUGAAUUUCAAGAGAAAUAGAGAAAUGAGUGGUCUUCACAUGCUGCCUGCACUGUUAUUAGCAUCAUUGGCAACCAUCACAAACACGGUUCUGGGCGUAUUUCCGUAGCUGUUUCAAGGCACACGUAGCCAAGUCCUACUUAUUCAGGCUCUGCCCAGCCAGCCCUUUGGGGACAUUCCAGUGCUCUAGAAAUUUAAGAUGACCAGGGCAUUCUGUCAAAUUACCUUGGCAACAGUGGUUUACUGGAAAGGAUGCCCAUCUCAGGACUCCAAAGGCCCCCAGAAAAUCACAUCAUGCAGGUAUCUGCUUCCAGGCAGGUCUCCGGGACUGAGAUGUCAGAUGUUGCUUGAAAGCUUAUUACAGGAUUAAAUCACAUCAUUCUUAAGGUCCUUUUUCGUAUGUUUAACUGAAAUCUCUGGUAUAUAGUUGUUUUUUUUUUUUUUCUUUCUCCUAAGUGGCCACAUAACACCAGCUGGUCUUAUUUCCAGUUUGUUACCCAUCCAAUUCAAUUAAUAACCGGGAGUGCCUCUCAUCAUCACCACCUUCACAUGGCCUUGCUUGCCUGAAUAGCCAGGCAUACUUCUAGGACUCCCAUAGUAACCCCAAAUCCUUCACCUUCACCCUCAAAGUUGCCCUACCUACCCUCCCCCUCAUUUUCCAGCCUCAUUUCUCAGUACACUGAAACUUGUACCUCCACUCAACACAUUUAUUUUGCGUGCCACAAACACAAAAUGCUCUUUCUCACCUCCGAAUUUCCCCUUGCUUUUUACCAGAAGACAAAGUCCUAGCUUCUUACCACUAUCAAAUUUUCUCAUCAUCACUUUCAAAAUAUUUCUCCUCCAUGUAAUUUCCCCACAUGCUCAUCAGCAUCUGAUAAUAUCUUCAUGAAGCUUAAUCAGUUUGAUCCAAAAUGUUAAAGGAUCACUGAACGUAUAUAUACUUUUAUACUUUAUUGAGACUUUUUCAGCCCUAAAUCAAUAAAAGUAAUAGACUGCCUAACUGUGCAGAUGAUUUUCUAUUUUAACUGAGUCAGAGAAAUGUAAAUUUCAUAUUUCCAGGAAAUCUUCAGAGAACCUGGCUUUAAUUCUCUGGUUUGAGACACUUCUCUAGGAGUGUAGAUCUACUGGGAAAUGUUGCUAAUUAUGGAAAAAGCAAUACACUGAGAGUGAAGAUUCAAUAUUUUGGUAAAUUAUAUCAGAUGCAAAUGCUUCAGUCUUACUUCAGUCAAAUCGCUUAUGGAACAUUUACUAUGUUAACAGCCACCUUCUCGCCAAGGGGGACAGAAACAAACAGGACAUUCAGAUUUCUGCUUACUGUCUGCCAGGGAAGAUGCAUUUAGACAAGAAAGUUUAAGGGCUCCUAGACCCUAACGUGAAACACUGGAAUCUCUAGGAAUAUUUCCAGUUGAGUUUAUUUUGGAGAUGAGCAUCGGAACAUGAGCAGGAAACUAGGUGGGGAGGCAGGAGGAUAAAGAAGAUGUGUAGUGAAGAGACAGCAUUCUAGGCAGCAUGUACAGCAUUUCCCCAGGUAGGGAAAGUAGAGCAUGUUUGUGAAACUGAAAAAAAAAUGCAGAAUAGCAGGAAAACAGAGGGAGAGGUCCAAGGUCAGGCUGGUGAGGUGGCCUGGGGUCAGCACUUGUAGGUUACGAGCAGCAUAAGGGCAUUAAAUGCUAAUUGGUGGAAGAGUGGUGUGAAAUAAUUUUAAAAUUAUCAUCCCUUGAGAGAGUGGGAUGGGGGUCACAGGAGGAUGGCGUCAAGAAUAAAUUACAAAGAAUCUGAAAAAGAAUGGAUGUGUAAGUGAAUCAUGUUGUUGUACAGCAGAAUGACCACAACCUUGUAAUUCUACUAUACUUAAUAAAGCUUAAAAAAAAAAAAGUAUGAAUUACUGUGGAACAGCCAGCAGCUGCAGGCUCACGUGGAUAAGAAGACAUGGGGGGCUUAGAACAAAGAGUGGCUGUGGUCCUGAAGAGAAGGAAUUGAAGACAAAGCACAUAAGGAAACCUCAUGCACUAGUAGCUAUAAAAAGUGAGUAAGUGACCUGAGCAACUAGGUCAAUGGUGAUGUUUUUGAAGACACACAGGACUGGAAAGGAGCCAUUUGUGUGUGGGUGUGUGUGUUCACGAUGCAAAGGUGAUUUGGGGUUUGGACAUGUUGAGUUUUGGAGCAUCCAUUUUACUCUAUGUGGUGAUAUUGAGUUGAAUGUUUAAUUCAUUGGUUGGAGGUCACAACAGAUAUUGGGGUUAGAAUAAAUAUUUGGGGAUUUCUGGCAUAUUGAUGGCAACUGAAAUCAGAGGGCUCUUUUUCUCAAGGAUAAUCUGAAGGGCAAACAUCUUCCUACUUAAUAGAGAAGAUCCAAGGCCAGUUAAACAGAGGGAACAACUGGUAAAGGAAAAUGAUGGGAAUGUGUUGCAGAAGUGAAGGAAAAAAGGAAUUUUCAAAAUGAAUGGAGUGAUGAAAAGGCAAUGAAUAAUUUGCAUACUGAAUUCCAAUGCUUUUGGCAAUAGAAAGUCAUGGCCUCCUUGGUAAGUGUAAUGGAAAGUUUGAGAGUGGGGCACUGAAAGAGCAAAGAUCAUGCUUUUCAAGACAUUUUAGAUGUAAGGAAUUGGCAGAGUCCCUAUUGUGGUGAAGCGGAAACAAAUCCAACUAGGAACCAUGAGGUUGCGGGUUCAGUCCCUUUGCUGUGAGCUGUGGUGUAGGUCAUAGACGUGGCUAGGAUCUGGCAUUGCUGUGCCUGUGGCAUAGGCUGGCAGCUAUAGCUCCAAUUAGACCCCUAACCUGGGAACCUCCAUAUGCCACAAGUGCAGCCCUAAAAAGCAAAAAAAUAAAAAUAAAAAA
rnacentral:lncRNA from 1 species